UCCUACGGGAGGCAGCAGUAAGGAAUAUUGGUCAAUGGACGCAAGUCUGAACCAGCCAUGCCGCGUGUUGGAUGACGGCCCUCUGGGUUGUAAACUUCAUUUAUCUGGGACGAAAAAAGAUCAUUCCUGAUCACAAGACGGUACCAGAGGAAUAAGCACCGGCUAACUCCGUGCCAGCAGCCGCGGUAAU
rnacentral:rRNA from 1 species